rnacentral:rRNA from 1 species
GCCUCAGAAACUACAAAUGAAGUUGACGGGGGCCCGGCACAAGCGGUGGAGUAUGUGGUUUAAUUCGAUGCAACGCGAAGAACCUUACCUGGUCUUGACAUCCCGGAGACCCUUAGGAAACUAGGGGGUGGCUUCCAUCUGGAAGAAUCUGGAGACAGGUGCUGCAUGGCUGUCGUCAGCUCGUGUCGUGAGAUGUUGGGUUAAGUCCCGCAACGAGCGCAACCCUUGCCUUUAGUUGCCAGCAGUUCGGCUGGGCACUCUAAAGGGACUGCCGGUGUUAAACCGGAGGAAGGUGGGGAUGACGUCAAGUCCUCAUGGCCUUUAUGACCAGGGCUACACACGUACUACAAUGGCCGAUACAAAGGGCAGCGACACUGCGAGGUGAAGCCAAUCCCGUAAAAUCGGUCUCAGUCCGGAUUGGAGUCUGCAACUCGACUCCAUGAAGUUGGAAUCGCUAGUAAUCGUGGAUCAGCAUGCCACGGUGAAUACGUUCCCGGGCCUU